rnacentral:rRNA from 1 species
ACGAACGCUGGCGGCGCGCCUAACACAUGCAAGUCGAACGGAGCUUAGAGAGCUUGCUUUUUAAGCUUAGUGGCGAACGGGUGAGUAACGCGUGAGUAACCUGCCCUAGAGUGGGGGACAACAGUUGGAAACGACUGCUAAUACCGCAUAAGCCCACGGUACCGCAUGGCACUGAGGGAAAAGGAUUUAUUCGCUUUAGGAUGGACUCGCGUCCAAUUAGCUAGUUGGUGAGGUAACGGCCCACCAAGGCGACGAUUGGUAGCCGGACUGAGAGGUUGAACGGCCACAUUGGGACUGAGACACGGCCCAGACUCCUACGGGAGGCAGCAGUGGGGGAUAUUGCACAAUGGGGGAAACCCUGAUGCAGCGACGCCGCGUGGAGGAAGAAGGUUUUCGGAUUGUAAACUCCUGUCGUUAGGGACGAUAAUGACGGUACCUAACAAGAAAGCACCGGCUAACUACGUGCCAGCAGCCGCGGUAAAACGUAGGGUGCAAGCGUUGUCCGGAAUUACUGGGUGUAAAGGGAGCGCAGGCGGGAAGACAAGUUGGAAGUGAAAACCAUGGGCUCAACCCAUGAAUUGCUUUCAAAACUGUUUUUCUUGAGUAGUGCAGAGGUAGAUGGAAUUCCCGGUGUAGCGGUGGAAUGCGUAGAUAUCGGGAGGAACACCAGUGGCGAAGGCGGUCUACUGGGCACCAACUGACGCUGAGGCUCGAAACCAUGGGUAGCAAACAGGAUUAGAUACCCUGGUAGUCCAUGCCGUAAACGAUGAUUACUAGGUGUUGGGGGAUUGACCCCCUCAGUGCCGCAGUUAACACAAUAAGUAAUCCACCUGGGGAGUACGACCGCAAGGUUGAAACUCAAAGGAAUUGACGGGGGCCCGCACAAGCAGUGGAGUAUGUGGUUUAAUUCGAAGCAACGCGAAGAACCUUACCAGGGCUUGACAUAUACAGGAAUACUUAAGAGAUUAAGUAGCUCUUCGGAGCUUGUAUACAGGUGGUGCAUGGUUGUCGUCAGCUCGUGUCGUGAGAUGUUGGGUUAAGUCCCGCAACGAGCGCAACCCCUGUUGUUAGUUGCCAGCAAGUAAAGUUGGGAACUCUAACGAGACUGCCGGUGAUAAAUCGGAGGAAGGUGGGGACGACGUCAAAUCAUCAUGCUCUUUAUGUCCUGGGCUACACACGUACUACAAUGGCAAGUACAGAGGGAAGCGAAACCGCGAGGUUGAGCAAAACCCAAAAAGUUGUCUCAGUUCAGAUUGCAGUCUGAAAUUCGACUGUAUGAAGAUGGAAUUGCUAGUAAUUGCAGGUCAGCAUACUGCAGUGAAUACGUUCUCGGGCCUUGUACACACCGCCCGUCACGCCAUGAGAGUCGAAAACACCCGAAGCCUGUGAGCCAACCGCAAGGGGGCAGCAGUCGAAGGUGGGUUUGGCGAUUGGGGUG